GAUGAACGCUGGCGGCGUGCCUAAUACAUGCAAGUCGAGCGAACGGACGAGAAGCUUGCUUCUCUGAUGUUAGCGGCGGACGGGUGAGUAACACGUGGAUAACCUACCUAUAAGACUGGGAUAACUUCGGGAAACCGGAGCUAAUACCGGAUAAUAUUUUGAACCGCAUGGUUCAAAAGUGAAAGACGGUCUUGCUGUCACUUAUAGAUGGAUCCGCGCUGCAUUAGCUAGUUGGUAAGGGAACGGCUUACCAAGGCAACGAUGCAUAGCCGACCUGAGAGGGUGAUCGGCCACACUGGAACGUGGACACGGUCCAUAGUCCUACGGGAGGCAGCAGUAGGGAAUCUUCCGCAGUGGGCGAAAACCUGACGGAGCAACGCCGCGUGAGUGAUGAAGGUGCUCGGAUCGUGAAACUCGGUUAUUAGGGAAGAACAUAUGUGUACGUGACUGUAGACAUCGUGACGGUACCUAAUCAGAAAGCCACGGCUAACUACGUG
rnacentral:rRNA from 1 species